CACACCCUGCCGGCUGCUGUAGAAAGUUAAUACGGUUGCACGGACGACAGGCUAAAAAAGAAAUAAAAUGGGUUUUGACCAGCGGAGUUAUGCAGGACAGGGCAGGCACUGCCUCACGGACAAGCGGGGAUCACGGGCUAUUCAGUAUUAAGCUGGCUUUAUAUGAAAGUGGCUUAGAGCCACAUUUGCAUGACAAAGCCAUUUACGCGUAUCUCAUCAAGAAGGAAGGCUACGGGCUCCAUGUAUUCUGCCUUUCCUCUUGCGCGCGGAUCCCGCGCAACCAUUAAAGGUAGCGACGGGGAUUUUGAAACGAAAAUGCGGUGAAAACUGCUCUGGCAGCGCUAUCGAGGUGGGGUACCCCGGGCUGCCCCCCGGCUCGGGUAAAAGCUAGGGUAAACUUCCCCCGGAGCGGCGGAACUGUGCCGUUUGCCGCGGGAGGAGAACCCCGGGCGCCCCUGACCGAUCGGGGCUGCGGCCCCGCGCUCGGGGCUCCCCGUCGGGCGGGCGUUGCCACAUCCAUGUUGUAAAACCUCUCCGCAGGACUUUGGCAGGGCUGCGCCGGGGCGGCCGCACGCCCGCGUUCCGAUAGAGAAGUACAGCCCGAGCGGUGUUUCGCGGACAAAAGGGCUGUUUGCUGGCUGAAACUGUUAAGGAAUU